rnacentral:rRNA from 1 species
UUAACUUGUAUUGCCAAAGCAAAUAAAAGGGAACUCUCCCUUGCUUUAUAAUAAAAUUGAGUAGACUAAGUGGGAAAAAAGGGAUGUUAGUCCCCUUUUUAUGGCCGAUUCAUUGGAUUGGGCCCCCAAAAGAUACCUUUUGGGGCCAUUGGCGUAGAGAGGGGGGAUCCGAUUUUCGGAUCGGCGCCGAAGGCGCCCAACCCUACUCGAUUUUUAUGAAAAACCACUCUUUUUAUUAGGAUUACUGGCUAAAACCGUACAAGUAAGGUAGUUUGGUUGGGGCGACCGCCUUCGAAAAAGUAUCGAAGGCGUACAUAAGAUUAAUCCGGGGGGGGUGUCCUUUUUUCACCCCCAAACAAACCGGGGGUAAUGCCCCAAAAAAGAUUAGUUUGACUGAGAGGGCUACAACCCGAACAGGCGCUUGGGGAUCGUUAGGAUCCCUGGGCCCGGUUUAUACCAAGGGGCCUAAUUGACCAGCGGGCUCCUUUUUAUUCCCGGGUCGAACCUAGCGGGUCAUAGUGAUCCGUUGUUAUAUUGUGGGAUAGACAACGAUCAACGAAGA